rnacentral:rRNA from 1 species
GACGAACCGUGCAAACGUUGUUCGGAAUCACUGGGCUUAAAGGGCGCGUAGGCGGGUGGUCAAGUCAGGGGUGAAAUCUUUCAGCUCAACUGGAAAACAGCUUUUGGUACUGGCCAUCUUGAGGGGGGUAGGGGCAUGUGGAACUUCCGGUGGAGCGGUGAAAUGCGUAGAUAUCGGAAGGAACGCCGGUGGCGAAAGCGACGUGCUGGACCCUUUCUGACGCUGAGGCGCGAAAGCCAGGGGAGCAAACGG